rnacentral:rRNA from 1 species
GACGAACGCUGGCGGCGUGCUUAACACAUGCAAGUCGAACGGAAAGGCCCUGCUUUUGUGGGGUGCUCGAGUGGCGAACGGGUGAGUAACACGUGAGUAACCUGCCCUUGACUUUGGGAUAACUUCAGGAAACUGGGGCUAAUACCGGAUAGGAGCUCCUGCUGCAUGGUGGGGGUUGGAAAGUUUCGGCGGUUGGGGAUGGACUCGCGGCUUAUCAGCUUGUUGGUGGGGUAGUGGCUUACCAAGGCUUUGACGGGUAGCCGGCCUGAGAGGGUGACCGGCCACAUUGGGACUGAGAUACGGCCCAGACUCCUACGGGAGGCAGCAGUGGGGAAUAUUGCGCGAUGGGCGGAAGCCUGAUGCAGCAACGCCGCGUGCGGGAUGACGGCCUUCGGGUUGUAAACCGCUUUCGCCUGUGACGAAGCGUGAGUGACGGUAAUGGGUAAAGAAGCACCGGCUAACUACGUG